CUGGUGGCGAGUGGCGAACGGGUGAGUAAUAUAUCGGAACGUACCCUAGAGUGGGGGAUAACGUAGCGAAAGUUACGCUAAUACCGCAUACGAUCUAAGGAUGAAAGUGGGGGAUCGCAAGACCUCAUGCUCGUGGAGCGGCCGAUAUCUGAUUAGCUAGUUGGUAGGGUAAAAGCCUACCAAGGCAUCGAUCAGUAGCUGGUCUGAGAGGACGACCAGCCACACUGGAACUGAGACACGGUCCAGACUCCUACGGGAGGCAGCAGUGGGGAAUUUUGGACAAUGGGCGAAAGCCUGAUCCAGCAAUGCCGCGUGAGUGAAGAAGGCCUUCGGGUUGUAAAGCUCUUUUGUCAGGGAAGAAACGGUGAGAGCUAAUAUCUCUUGCUAAUGACGGUACCUGAAGAAUAAGCACCGGCUAACUACGUGCCAGCAGCCGCGGUAAUACGUAGGGUGCAAGCGUUAAUCGGAAUUACUGGGCGUAAAGCGUGCGCAGGCGGUUUUGUAAGUCUGAUGUGAAAUCCCCGGGCUCAACCUGGGAAUUGCAUUGGAGACUGCAAGGCUAGAAUCUGGCAGAGGGGGGUAGAAUUCCACGUGUAGCAGUGAAAUGCGUAGAUAUGUGGAGGAACACCGAUGGCGAAGGCAGCCCCCUGGGUCAAGAUUGACGCUCAUGCACGAAAGCGUGGGGAGCAAACAGGAUUAGAUACCCUGGUAGUCCACGCCCUAAACGAUGUCUACUAGUUGUCGGGUCUUAAUUGACUUGGUAACGCAGCUAACGCGUGAAGUAGACCGCCUGGGGAGUACGGUCGCAAGAUUAAAACUCAAAGGAAUUGACGGGGACCCGCACAAGCGGUGGAUGAUGUGGAUUAAUUCGAUGCAACGCGAAAAACCUUACCUACCCUUGACAUGGCUGGAAUCCCCGAGAGAUUGGGGAGUGCUCGAAAGAGAACCAGUACACAGGUGCUGCAUGGCUGUCGUCAGCUCGUGUCGUGAGAUGUUGGGUUAAGUCCCGCAACGAGCGCAACCCUUGUCAUUAGUUGCUACGAAAGGGCACUCUAAUGAGACUGCCGGUGACAAACCGGAGGAAGGUGGGGAUGACGUCAAGUCCUCAUGGCCCUUAUGGGUAGGGCUUCACACGUCAUACAAUGGUACAUACAGAGCGCCGCCAACCCGCGAGGGGGAGCUAAUCGCAGAAAGUGUAUCGUAGUCCGGAUUGUAGUCUGCAACUCGACUGCAUGAAGUUGGAAUCGCUAGUAAUCGCGGAUCAGCAUGUCGCGGUGAAUACGUUCCCGGGUCUUGUACACACCGCCCGUCACACCAUGGGAGCGGGUUUUACCAGAAGUAGGUAGCU
rnacentral:rRNA from 1 species